rnacentral:ncRNA from 1 species
UUAUAUUCGGCAAAGUGAAUGAUUAGAGGAAUUGUGGGAUGAAAAAUUUUCAAUCUAUUUUCAAAUUUUCAAUGAGUAUGACGUCUUGCUUGCUUGAAUGAAGCGUAGAUAUUUGA